UUUUAGCAGAACCCUUUUCGCGUCUUUAAAUGUCAAUAUUAUUUUGUCUGUCAAUUACUUGCUGUUAUUUAUCUACAUUAGAUAAUUAUAAAGCACCAUGGAAGUUGGUUGGCAAUAUAAAAAUGCUAAUAAAAUAGUGCAUAAAUCUCAUUUUUCAUUAAAUUGGAAAUUCUGAAGCACUGAGGAUUUUUACUCCAAAAC